rnacentral:lncRNA from 7 species
UUUUAGAUUUUGUGGAGAUUAUAUGAUACAGUUAUAUUUUGGUAUAUGUGCAUUUGUUGAGAUCGUCAAAGCUGAAACUAUGAAGAGAAGCACACAUCACUAUAUGGCUGACCUCAUGUGUACAAGAUGACUUCAGCAAGUUAAAGUGAUCAGACUUCUUUUCAAAGACUACUAGAUUUCCCAGGAAGAAAUGAUAAUUUGAUUAUACUCAAAGGGAGGGGAACAAGCAACCCUCAGGCUGCUGAAGUACAGCUUUCUUUAGGUACCUUCCAUCAUGCUGAGUCAAGUACAUGCACCCCAGCCCUCUGGAGAUCCUGCACCAAAUCACUUUUGCCUAGACGACUCUCUGCUCUGCAGCAGACUGGCUGUGUAUUUUUUUGCCUCCUGAAGUCUGUGUUGAAUUAAAAAAAAAUGCAGAAUGGCCUGGAGGUGGCAGCAGCCAACGUCAUGAAACAUACGUAUGCACUGAAUAGAUCUCAUUUACAGGACCAGCAAAACAAACUGUAUUUGAAGAAAUUUGAUUCACUGUGGAGUCAAAAGUUCUGUAGAGUCAGGAAAGAGCCACUGCUGGAGCUUCACCAUGGCAAAUGUGUCAUAACUUAUAGAAUGGCAGAGAUUUUGCUUUCAUUGUUGUAAACAUAACUGGCUGUGAAAAUGAAAAUAUUGGCUCAAUAUGAAAUAAAGACAGUUUUUUCACUUU